UACAGAGGGUGCAAGCGUUAAUCGGAAUUACUGGGCGUAAAGCGUGCGUAGACGGUCAUGUAAGUCGGGUGUGAAAGCCCCGGGCUCAACCUGGGAAUUGCAUUCGAGACUGCAUGGCUAGGGUGCGGAAGAGGGAAGCGGAAUUUCCGGUGUAGCGGUGAAAUGCGUAGAUAUCGGGAGGAACACCUGUGGCGAAAGCGGCUCACUGGACCACAACUGACGCUGAGGCGCGAAAGCUAGGGGAGCAAACAGG
rnacentral:rRNA from 1 species